ACUGAAACUAAGAUAAAAAAAAAUUAUAAAAUAAAAAAAACCACCUGGAACUCACCAGUGGCCGAUCGUCACCAAAGGGCUUACUCGAUCUUCUCCGUUGUCAUGCUAAAACAGCGCCACAACAUCAUGUCAUUUUGGGAGGACGAUGAGGGCAUUUCGGUAAACAAAUUUCAAAAGCAUAAUAAUAAGAACCCUCUGCACCGCCACACCGUCAAGUCCUGAACCAACCUCUCGGUACUUGUUUCUGCAACUGAAUCACAUUUCCAAACAUGGGGAAGGGGACUGGAAGCUUUGGCAAACCCGGCCCUUUGGAGCCACGCUCUCUCCAUGCGGUGCGGCCGUCGGAGCUUUCAUCUUCAGAAGAGUCGUUGCGCCUCUUGUGGCUACCCCGCCAGCCGUAUCAGAAAACAUAACUGGAGCGUGAAGGCGAUUCGCAGAAAGACUACAGGUACUGGUAGAAUGAGGUGCCUUCGUCAGUCAUGUCGCGGUUAGAUUCAAGUUCAACUUCAGAGAAGGUAUUGAGAAGAAAGAAAACGGGCUAUGUAUCAUGAGCAAAUCAUAAGCUUCUCAGCUUUGGCUAAAAACUAGUACUUAGGAGGUCUAGAAUGACAAUGUUUACAUUUUCUAUUCAGUAUUCUGUAUAAUAGUUUGUACCCUAAACCAGAUUACAAGAAAGAUGAAAUCUUGAGUGACAUGAAGUGCAUUUUCUUUCCAUACA